AGUACGGCGAGCGAACCGGAAAGAGCCCAGCUUGAAAAUCGCGGUGCCUUGGGCACCUCGAAUUGUGGUCUGGAGAAGGUCCCUCUGCGCCGCGCCGGACCCAAGUUCCCUGGAAAGGGACGUCGGAGAGGGUGACAACCCCGUCGAGUCCGGGCCGCGUCGCUCCACGAGGACCUGUCUGCGAGUCGGGCUGUUUGGGAAUGCAGCCCUAAGUGGGUGGUAAAUUCCAUCCAAGGCUAAAUAUUGGCAAGAGACCGAUAGCGAACAAGUACCGCGAGGGAAAGAUGAAAAGGACUUUGAAAAGAGAGUUAAAAAGUGCUUGAAAUUGCUGGGAGGGAAGCGAAUGGAAGCUGCGGGUGCGCCCCGGUUGGAUGCGGAACGGCUGCGGCUGGUCCGCCGCUCAACGCGGGGUGCUGGUCAGCGUGGGCCGUCGCGGCGGGACAAGAGCGGGGAUUCGCUUCCCGCCUAUGCCGCCGCGGUGGCCGAGGGAACUUGAAGCGCGCGCCCUUAGGCGUGGGGGCCACGUGUCCCCAACUGCGCGCUCGGGACGCUGGCGUAUUGAGCUCUUCAUCCGACCCGUCUUGAAACACGGACCAAGGAGUCUAACAUGUAUGCGAGCCGGUGGGCGGCAAACCCAUUUAUUAUCGAGGCGCAAGUAACCUGACAGGUGGGACCCCUUUAUCGGGAGCACCAUCGACCGACCGUGAUCUUCUGUGAAGGGUUC
rnacentral:rRNA from 1 species